rnacentral:rRNA from 1 species
CAGCAGUGGGGAAUAUUGCACAAUGGGGGAAACCCUGAUGCAGCGACGCCGCGUGGAGGAAGAAGGUCUUCGGAUUGUAAACUCCUGUUGUUGAGGAAGAUAAUGACGGUACUCAACAAGGAAGUGACGGCUAACUACGUGCCAGCAGCCGCGGUAAAACGUAGGUCACAAGCGUUGUCCGGAAUUACUGGGUGUAAAGGGAGCGCAGGCGGGAAGACAAGUUGGAAGUGAAAUCCAUGGGCUCAACCCAUGAACUGCUUUCAAAACUGUUUUUCUUGAGUAGUGCAGAGGUAGGCGGAAUUCCCGGUGUAGCGGUGGAAUGCGUAGAUAUCGGGAGGAACACCAGUGGCGAAGGCGGCCUACUGGGCACCAACUGACGCUGAGGCUCGAAAGUGUGGGUAGCAAACAGGAUUAGAUACCCUGGUAGUCCACACCGUAAACGAUGAUUACUAGGUGUUGGAGGAUUGACCCCUUCAGUGCCGCAGUUAACACAAUAAGUAAUCCACCUGGGGAGUACGACCGCAAGGUUGAAACUCAAAGGAAUUGACGGGGGCCCGCACAAGCAGUGGAGUAUGUGGUUUAAUUCGACGCAACGCGAAGAACCUUACCAAGUCUUGACAUCCUGCGACGGAUAUAGAAAUAUGUUUUUCCUUCGGGACGCAGAGACAGGUGGUGCAUGGUUGUCGUCAGCUCGUGUCGUGAGAUGUUGGGUUAAGUCCCGCAACGAGCGCAACCCUUAUGGUCAGUUACUACGCAAGAGGACUCUGGCCAGACUGCCGUUGACAAAACGGAGGAAGGUGGGGAUGACGUCAAAUCAUCAUGCCCUUUAUGACUUGGGCUACACACGUACUACAAUGGCGUUAAACAAAGAGAAGCAAGACCGCGAGGUGGAGCAAAACUCAAAAACAACGUCUCAGUUCAGAUUGCAGGCUGCAACUCGCCUGCAUGAAGUCGGAAUUGCUAGUAAUCGCGGAUCAGCAUGCCGCGGUGAAUACGUUCCCGGGCCUUGUACACACCGCCCGUCACACCAUGGGAGUUGGGAGCGCCCGAAGCCAAUAGCCUAACCGCAAGGAGGGCGUUGUCUAAGGUGAGACCAAUGACUGGGGUGAAGUCGUAACAAGGUAGCCGUAUCGGAAGGUGCGGCUG